UAAAGAGUAACGGAGGAGCACGAAGGUUGGCUAAUCCUGGUCGGACAUCAGGAGGUUAGUGCAAUGGCAUAAGCCAGCUUGACUGCGAGCGUGACGGCGCGAGCAGGUGCGAAAGCAGGUCAUAGUGAUCCGGUGGUUCUGAAUGGAAGGGCCAUCGCUCAACGGAUAAAAGGUACUCCGGGGAUAACAGGCUGAUACCGCCCAAGAGUUCAUAUCGACGGCGGUGUUUGGCACCUCGAUGUCGGCUCAUCACAUCCUGGGGCUGAAGUAGGUCCCAAGGGUAUGGCUGUUCGCCAUUUAAAGUGGUACGCGAGCUGGGUUUAGAACGUCGUGAGACAGUUCGGUCCCUAUCUGCCGUGGGCGCUGGAGAACUGAGGGGGGCUGCUCCUAGUACGAGAGGACCGGAGUGGACGCAUCACUGGUGUUCGGGUUGUCAUGCCAAUGGCACUGCCCGGUAGCUAAAUGCGGAAGAGAUAAGUGCUGAAAGCAUCUAAGCACGAAACUUGCCCCGAGAUGAGUUCUCCCUGAGACUUUAGGUCUCCUGAAGGAACGUUGAAGACGACGACGUUGAUAGGCC
rnacentral:rRNA from 1 species